UGUUCUGUAGCUUAGUUGGUUAAAGCGCCGGUCUAACGAAUACGGAAUCGUGGGUUCGAAUCCCACCAGAACGCAA